CUUUGGAGCUUUUUCUAAAAUCAGGAGGCAUUGCGGGCAAGUGGGGGGCACAGGUCAGUCAAUGUGGAAGUACUUGGCCUGGGCCCAGCUGAGCUGUGCCCUAGGCUAACCUGUGGACUCCAGCUGGUGAGCCCCCGGAGGGUAACUCAUCUCACCACACCCGGCCUGGGCUGCAGCAGGAGCAGGACCUGGCAUCCUGGGGAUAUUGGGAGGAGACCUUCCUGAUGGCUGGGUGCCCUCAACACUCAGCCCUACCUCCCAGUGCCCCUUGCCCCUGGAGUCCUUUGCUUCCCUCCCCACUGAGAGCUGAGGACACCGGGACCCUGGGUCACCUGUUUGUCUUUCCUGACCUUCAUCCUGCACUUGGGAGCCAUCGGCUUUGUUCCAGGCUGAGCAGGACCCUCCUGGAAUCCAGGGGCUUGCCUCCCAGUCUGGCCGUGGGGACCCGCUGGAUCGUGUUGACCUGUAGCACCAUGGCUCCCACCUGGCCCUCUGAAGGACCCCCCUUUCUGAGAAGCUAUCACACCCCACCACAUGGCCCCUGCAGGUGGCCCUCCAGAUACUGCAUGAUACUUUGCCAUGUCCCCAGGUGGAAGGCUCAUGCAGGCCCUAGAAGCCCGUGUCCAACAGCGUUAAACAGGGCCAUGAACCUCUAUAUGGAUGAGUGUGUGGGCUCCCAGAGCAGGUACCUGAAGUGUACCAGGUACCUGUCUCCCCCCAGGGUCUGUGGGGCUGCAGGGGGAG